rnacentral:rRNA from 1 species
GUACCCGCUGAACUUAA